ensembl:lncRNA
CUUUUGCAAAACGAAGCAAGCCUCGACACAGUGCUUUUGAACCAGUGUGUUGUUUUUUUCGACACACGCUCCGGAGCGUCAGCUUCACGCGGGCCAUCACUACCCGACGGCAGUCGACGCUGGAUUGUACUUGAAGCUCGGAGGAAGAUAUACGGAGCAGGAGGUUGGAGAGAAGGAGCCCGCUGGAUUAAGCUCUCGGAGGAGAAAACGCACUCGGAUAAUCACUUUGAAAACUCACCUGCACACCACUGGGAGUUUGGAGAAGAUCACUGUUGGAUUUUUGCACUUCGCUUUGUGUUUUGAGACUGUUUUUGAGCACUGUAAAUAAACGCACUGUUUGCUUCGCAUCCAGAGCUCCGCGACUGAGUCCGUAUUUUCCCAUUACCCGUGACACUAUUUGGAUGUUUGAGGCACUGAUUAAUGCACACGUGACAUUGAUACCGACACAAAAAUUAUGACUGCUGCAGUUAAACUGACAGUCUCUUAGUCUGAUUGGACUGGACAACAUAUGAGAUUGGCUUAAGAAAAUACUGAUGUACAAUUGUAGUCAGAAGUUUACAUAUACCGUUACAAACCCCUUACUGCAAACUAUUUAUUUACAAUAAACUAUUUAUAAUUAACUUACAUUAUCAAAGUAAACAGGAGAUUAAAAAGAUAGCAAAACAACAUCAGCGUCUCCAAGGCCAAAAUGGCAAACAAACACAGGUAAUCCAAGUCCUCAUGCAUUGCACAUUAAUACAUGUCGCAGCCAGAAUGCUUGCUGUGUCUCCCAGCACAGUCCAAAUUCCAGGAGACAGGCCAUCAGCUGGACAAGACUGUAGAAAGCCCUUAACCCAUCACAGUCAGUGCACAGCUGCAGAUGAGGGAAUAUCUGGUCCGAAAUCCUGUUGGAAAUUCUCUGAACUCCAGACCGCCCAGGCAGGGCGCUCAAGCCCCUUCCGCCCUCACCUCUGCACGUGCCUGUGGGGAGCAGAUGCCUCUCUGCCUGACAGAUAUAUUGUUAGGCUCUGUCCCCACUCUCUUCAGUCUUGUGCAAGGGACAACUGAUAGAUUUUAUACUUGUGAGCAAAGACAACGAGUAGCAUUGUGUUCAACAUGAAGCUGAGAUAAAUAGUCUGGAGCUUGUCCAUUAAGUGCUCUGUAUGCAAGUGUGAGAAUUUGAAGACAUAAAUAAUAUUAAAUACAGCCUCUGUAUUGAUCUUUGAUUCAGCUUGUUGUUGACGUGACUACCCAGGUACUUCACUACUUCACUACUGUCACUACAGUGGACAGCUAUUCAAAGGCUGUUUUCUUGUAUUUGUCUCAGUGUUGAUGGUAUACUUGCACAUAAACCACUACAUUGGACACUGAUGUGUCACUCCAUACCCUGCCACCCACUGGACAUGUAAAAAACUCUUUGAAGUACAUGUUUUAAAAAAUGUUCAAAAAUCUUUUUUUCAUGCCUAAAGAUGAAAAAAAAUACUUAUAGGUUGUCAUAAUUCAUGCAUAAAAGGGUUAAAUAUAUUAUACCCCUUGCCCGUGUUGUGGAAGUUUUUCCACUUAAAUAAAGCCUGCAGAUGAGCGGUGAGCGGUAGCCAACAUUCUUUAAUCCAAAGCACACAGAGACAACGGACAACCAAGCUUGGUGGAGAGCCUGCAGGACCACGGGGCAGGGUCAGCAGAGUCUCACUGAGCCUUAGCAUGGCUCUCAUUUAAAUACCUUCUCCAGGAACAAAAGGCAGUACACAGCUGUUUCACACUUUAAGGUUCACACUCCCUUGCUACCUCCCAGAGUCCUUGCAGAGACAAAAGACUCUUCCUGUGAAGUGGUCUGCUCCCCCCCAACUUCCCUCUUACAGUAUGGGUGUCAGACAUGUUAAAAUCCAGUGGCACCAAGGCAUAAUACAAUAAAAUAAUGUGAUUAGUACAUCAGUUGAAAGAAAUUCCUAUACAAUCGCAAUGCAACUUCUGCAUGCAUGUCCAUUUCACGUUUUGGAGAGGUGAAGUGUGAAAUGUACAUGGUGGACUGGCGUAUCUAUUACACAUUUUGCCAUGCUGUGAGCAUAGAAAUCAAGAAUCAACUACCAUAUUAUUUAAGUCAAAUUGUAGAAUCAUCCAUGUUUUAUUUAUUGCCCACUCAUUGUCAGUAGUGUAGUUGGAGUUUGGGUGCCCCCUAGAAUCCAAGAAAUAUAUUAUUAUUUGAGGUUCAAAGCUGCUUUUUACCUGUCCAUUUUGAGACAAUAAAAAGUAAUAUUCUUUAAAUUCUAUUCCUAAAAUUAAAAUCACAAUUCAAUUUCACGUGAAUAAUAUACAAUCUUUUGAUUUGACUAAAGCAGAACAAUAUUUAAAGAAAAGUUAAGGUCUCCACUUGUCUCAAAAGGCCUUCUGUUUUUUGUUUUUUGUUUUUUUUUGGCUGUAUUAUGCUUUUAAAAAUAUCAAAAUCCAUAGUGGGAUUACUACAAAAACAAACAAGAAGCACUCUGAGAAUGCAAAUCUGUAUUGUAUUUUAUCUCUAUUAAUAUUCAUUGCAGAUGCAGACAUGGAAAGCUGGAGUCUGUGUUGGGAUCGCCAAGUAGCUGUUCCUGGUUCUCCAGCUGUCGUGCCUGUGUAGUUGGUGCACUGUCCCACAACAACACUCAUGUUCAAGAUUUACAAAGGGCCAGAUACCUACAUUCAAGCUACCUUCUCAUAACAGCACAGUGAUACAGAAUUUUAGGAUUUGUUUUAAUAAUGCACAAAAAUAUUACAACUUAACUCUUAAAAAUGUUAAUCAAGAAACUGGGUUUUAUGAUGUGCAGUGCUUUAAUUUGCUUCUCUUGCUAUCUAUGCAUUUUUUCUCAGUAGCCGAUGUCUGAUACCUUCACAGGUGUUGAAUAAACAAAUGUUUGACCCUCACACAGAGCAGCUGUGCACGUCAAAUAAUAAGUGCCACAACUUUCAAUGUGUUAAUGCAUCAACUUCACUUG